ACACAGGACCUUGAUCAAGAUACUCUCUUCUUAAAUAGAUUCCUUCCCUCUGAAUUCUUCCUCCUAGAACUCCUCUGGGCAGCACAACUUUAGGGCUUCCUUCUUCUCUCUCCCCAGCCUUCUCUUUUCUCUCUUUCUGUUCUCCGUGCCUUUCAUUUUUCUCUUCCUAAGCCCUUGUCCUAAAGGAGACCUUUUGUCCUAAUCUGGACUUGGUCUUAACAAGGGAAGGAAGAAAAAAAUUCAGACAAACUAGGAGACUAUGUAAGAAAGAAAGGAUUUAAGAUUUCUCGGAUGAAUGGAAUACCCCGACUGCGUCCCCUAUUUAUAUAUGA
rnacentral:lncRNA from 1 species